UACGUAGGGGGCAAGCGUUGUCCGGAAUCAUUGGGCGUAAAGAGCGUGUAGGCGGCCAGAUAAGUCCGCUGUGAAAUCUCGAGGCUCAACUUCGAGCUGUCGGUGGAAACUGUCUGGCUAGAGUCCGGAAGAGGAGAAUGGAAUUCCUGGUGUAGCGGUGAAAUGCGCAGAUAUCAGGAAGAACACCCGUGGCGAAGGCGGCUAUCUGGACGGUUUCUGACGCUAAGACGCGAAAGCGUGGGGAGCAAACAGG
rnacentral:rRNA from 1 species